AACGAACGCUGGCGGCAUGCCUAACACAUGCAAGUCGAACGAGACCUUCGGGUCUAGUGGCGCACGGGUGCGUAACGCGUGGGAACCUGCCCUUAGGUUCGGAAUAACUCCCCGAAAGGGGUGCUAAUACCGGAUAAUGUCUUCGGACCAAAGAUUUAUCGCCUUUGGAUGGGCCCGCGUUGGAUUAGCUAGUUGGUAGGGUAAAAGCCUACCAAGGCGACGAUCCAUAGCUGGUCUGAGAGGAUGAUCAGCCACACUGGGACUGAGACACGGCCCAGACCCCUACGGGGGGCAGCAGGGGGGAAUAGUGGGAAAUGGGCGAAAGCCUGAUCCAGCAAUGCCGGGUGAGGGAUGAAGGCCUUAGGGUUGUAAAGCUCUUUUACCCGGGAUGAUAAUGACAGUACCGGGAGAAAAAGCCCCGGCUAACCCCG
rnacentral:rRNA from 1 species